CACGUAGGGGGCAAGCGUUUGUCCGGAUUUAUUGGGCGUAAAGAGCUCGUAGGCGGCUCAGUAAGUCAGGUGUGAAAACUCCAGGCUCAACCUGGAGACGCCACCUGAUACUGCUGUGGCUAGAGUCCGGUAGGGGAGCAUGGAAUUCCUGGUGGUAGCGGUGAAAUGCGCAGAUAUCAGGAGGAACACCAGUGGCGAAGGCGGUGCUCUGGGCCGGAACUGGACGCUGAGGAGCGAAAGCGUGGGGAGCAAACAGG
rnacentral:rRNA from 1 species